UUUCACGUAAUGAAGUGGCUGCAGUGGAUCCUCAAUAUUUAUUUUUAUCUUGAGAAGUGAAUGAGGUUUAGGGUUAUUAUUAGACACAAUCUCAUAGCAUGUGACAAGCAUAGCUAAUGCAGGGACAGAAUCCCCUGAGACAAGGGCGUUGACAGGCGAAGCGCCAGCACCCCAAAUCAAGACUUUUUUUUAUUUUCCGUGGCGGGAAAUCGAGCUUUUCCAGUUAUCUACAGCCUGUAGAAAUUCAACGCUGAGAAUUUCCAACUAUUGUCCGGCUUUGGUCCUCUGCCACCGACCUAUCCUUUGAAGGAGAAUGCUAAAACCAGUUGGUUGCUCUUCAGUAGUUCUUUCUCUAUCGUACACAUAUAUUUGUAUGUCGACACAUGCCGUGUGCGACGACGUAGACACUUCUCAACAAUUGAGUGACUUGAAUUUGGCCAUGAUGACCGAAUGUCAUUGGACCGUGGAGUCGAGUAGAGGGCUCAGGCUCGAUCGGCACAACGGUUCAUUGCAGGUUGAACGAGGAAUGAACGUCUACUCUUUCUUUCCAAAACUGGCUGGGCACACGUCAAUGAGACGGAAGCUAGUGCCAAACCAGUCCUUGGAAGUUUUGUUGUGCUGCUGGACUUUCAAUCAUCAUGUAAAGUAUCUUCCGGUUUCUGAGUCUUCGUGUGCGCCUGAAGAGCUACACUGUGUAGAGAUGUUGGAAGUUUAUCCUGCUCACGACACUGCACCAAGUACAAGCACUUCCUCGGCACUGCCUGAGCCCUGUUCUGUGUUUACUGUGACCAGGAGAAGCAACUAGAAAUUUGGAGCUUGAGCUGGAACGCUGGUGCUCUCUCUCUCUCUCUCUCUCUCUCUCUCUCUCUCUCUCCGUCACGUUCUGCCACUGUCCGAAACCGGUGCAAGUGCUAGCAUGUCGAAGCGCAUUGUGUCUGAGUCACGCCCUCACUCUCCUGCUCCUCCCUCAUAUGCCCAAGACAGUAUGACCAACUGUGAAUACAGUUCAUGCCCACAUGUGAACUUGUGUGGUUCUCUUGUAGUAAGCUGCCACGUGUGUACUUGCACGUGUUGUGUACAUGUGUGUGUAUGUGUGUGUGUGCGUUUGUGUGUAUCUAUGGGACUGCGUUCUCCUAUUCUCCGGUGCCUUCGAGGCCCACGCAACCCUUGUGGCAGUGGCUCGACAGCACAGGGCAGGAGUGUGCGCGCAUGCAUGUGUAUAUGUCGGCGUGUGUGUGUGCGCGCGCGUGUGCAUGCGCAUAUGUGGGUGUGCGCGCGUGCAUGCAGAUGUGUGUGUGGGGGUGUGCGCACGCUGAUGCUCAGCUCUCCAGAAUUAUGUCCGUGUGCGUAGCCAGUGUAUGGUGGCAACAUAGCCUUCCUUCAUGUAUAUGUGUAUGCGCAUACUAUUUAGGAUGCUUUACUGUUUUUGGUGGGAUCCAGUUACAUAGUUUUCAGUUCAAUUAUUUAUGUUUAUACAGCUGCUGUAUUUGUAGUGCAACUUUAUGUCUUUCUGCUGGUCAAUUUGUCGUCUUGAUGGUGUUCUAAUACUGAUAUACGUAGAAAAUAUUA